ACUCCUACGGGAGGCAGCAGUGGGGAAUAUUGCGCAAUGGGGGAAACCCUGACGCAGCGACGCCGCGUGAGCGAAGAAGGCCUUAGGGUUGUAAAGCUCUGUUUUAAGGGACGAAUGUUCAUGGGAGUAAUAUGCCCAUGAAAUGACGGUACCUUAAGAGGAAGCCCCGGCUAACUACGUGCCAGCAGCCGCGGUAAU
rnacentral:rRNA from 1 species